rnacentral:misc_RNA from 1 species
UAAGAAAAUACACAAGAAAACUCGUUGUACGACAAGAAAAAAACUGCAUGCAAACAUAAAAGAAAAUUGGCUUUUGGUACUUUUUCCAAGUAGAAGAACGAAAUAAAAAUCGCUUUCCGUGUGCAGUGAAAGAAUAGAGGACGCCCGUUUGCACUUACGCAUUAUUGUUCGCUACUGCGUCGGGCGAAAGAGUUUUUCUUGACUUUGUGUAUGUGUGUGAAAAAGGGGAGGGAAUUGGUGUGGUUGGGAUUGCGAGGAAAGUAGAAACUCUGCCGUCGUCGUUGUCGACGACAGAUUUCGAGAAAUACUACAGAGAAGGUGAAAUGCAGACGUGCCGGGAUGCGAGUUCAUAAGAAUAUUCUUGUUUAAAAUAAAAGAAUUAAGUUUUAAAAGUACUGUGUACACCAUUUAACAUGCACUAAAUGAGUGAUUUUUGCUUUAAUUGAAAAAUAGACGUGAAAGCAAAUAGCAAAGGUGUACCUGCAUUGUAAAAGUGUGAACAACGGCGUUACCCUGGUAAAGGGGAGGCGUCGCCAUACGGUAGCGUGAAAAACGCUGACAUUACGGAAAAUUUUGGAGCAUAAGAAAAAAUAAAAUAAAAAAGACGGGUGGGGUCAAGAAGGCUGCCUUGGCUGGUUGCACGUACGGUCGAUUGAAACGCAGUCAGGCAGUCUGCCGCGUACACGACUACGGAGGGUGAGGCUGCAUCCAGCGAUAACUACGAACAAAGUAUUGACCAUUCAAAUUCAAUGCAAUUCAACAAAGCAAAGAGUAUAAAAUAGAAAGCAGGCCAUUGGUCAGUGCUUGUUGGCUCUAUAUCCUGUUUGUGCUACGCCAGUUAUGGUGAAAGUGUUUAUAAUGCUGUACAUACAAGAAAUUGGACGAUGCUGAGUUCGCAAUCAAAAUCAUUAUCCUGUAAUCUAAUAUGGGUGUGCCGGAUAUUUGUAAAAUAUAACUAAAAAUUAACUUGCGCAGCAGCAGCAGUAGCAACCUGCGAAUUUCACAAGCCAUAAAUAAACGCGAGUUGGGGAAGGAGGAGGAAAAAGGAAGUAGGUAGCAAGGCAAACAUAAACCGGCAGACCAUACUUGCCCUACCCCGCGAAUCGCAUUACUACGUCGGUACACACGAACAUACUGGCACACACUUAAAAGAACAAAACAUAGAACAUUUAGUGCUCUGAAUGCGUUUGAACAACGUGAAGCGCUUUGCGUCUCGUCGCGCAAUUAAAAACGGCGAAUCCUACAGAAGAAGUUUAGUAGCCUGAAAAAUUCAAAUUGCCAAUGCCGAAUAACGUCAUAAAGAGUAGCAGCGCCAGCGCCAGUAGUACCAGUAAUGGGCGCAGCAGCAGCAGCAACAACAGUAGUAGCAGUAGUAGUGCCAAUGCAAAUCAAGCAAAAUCAAUUACUAGCCAUAAAAAUGAAACGAAAACGCCGACCGCUUCAUCAACUACAUCGUCGUUUGUAGCAACGUCCAACUCACUGCCAGACAAAAGCGUUAUAGUUAAACAAUCCAACAACAACGAACGCAUUGCUGCACAUCGGCGUGAUGGUUCCAGUAUUGCCGGAAUACAACGACAGCCAUUUCGUAAGCUUCAAUAUAUUAGCCCGCAAUCGAAGUUUCGUGAUGCAGUAGCAUCAUUAGACACUGUAGGUGAUGUGUCAUUGAAUGAAAGUCGUAGUGAUUUGUUAGUCUAUACCGAAGAUGGACACUUGGUGUCGGCCAGUUUGGAGGCGCUCAUCACACAUAUGGUGCCGACCAGCGAAUAUUAUCCAGAACAAAAUUUUAUAUUCGCAUUUUUACUAAGCGCUCGCCUAUUUGUGCGGCCGCAUGAAUUACUUGCGCAAAUUUCUAAAACAUGGGAACGUCAACAGCAAAAGCAGCAGCAACAGCACCAACAGGAACAGCAACAAGGCGUUGAUGUUGUUGACGAGGCACAUUUUAGCCAUUUGGCUGUAGCCGCCUCCGCGUCUCCGCUAAUGCAGCGCAAAACUGCAAACAAUGCUGCUAUUUUGCCACAAACAGUUGGUCAUAAUGAGGUAAAUGUAAUUGUCGAAGGCCACCUCAAGCAGCGCACCGCCAUACAGCUGAGCGCACAAAAUUGCAUACGUUUGCUAGCCGAGUGGAUUGAAACGUUUCCGUAUGAUUUUCGAGAUGAGCGCCUAAUGCAGCAGGUGCGUAUAUUGGCGCGCAAGUGUGUCUAUAUUGAUAAUGCACUCGGUAGGCGAGUGUCACGCAUUCUACAGCUGUUGGUGCAUCGUCUGACAGUGCUCGAGCAAUAUGAGGCAACAUUGCAAACAAUGGCAGCUACGGAUCUCACCACAGGCAACAAUCAUCAACAAUUACCGCACUACAACACAUCGGCGGGGGCGGCCACAACGGCUGUCAAUCAAAGCGGUACGCACAACUCGCUGAUAGGUUGUGUAAAGAGUCACACGCUUCAUACAAGCAGCAUCGCAGAGACACACAAAUCAAGCACAAACACGAACAAUUCAAAUUCAUUGAGCUCCGGAGCGGUGGCUACUGUAGCAGUAGCCAUAGAUGGCAAUAGCGCGCAUGAAAUACACGGCAUCAUGGAUAUCUGCCCGAGUUGUGCGCAGCUAGCGCAUCAGCUGACCGCCAUUGAGCUUGAGCGUUUGUCACACAUUGGGCCGGAGGAAUUUGUGCAAGCUUUCGCCAAGGAAUACCAACAUUCCAUUGAGGGAAAGUCGACAGCACCAACAGGGACGAAUACCAGUAAGAGUUCGACGAACAUGGAAUCCGCGGCAACGUUAAAUGAUAUGAAAAAAACACGCAAUCUAGAAUCGUACGUGGAGUGGUUUAACCGCCUGAGCUACCUGACUGCGUCGGAGAUUGUAAAGUAUCCGAAGAAGAAGCAGCGUGUACGCAUUAUCGAAUAUUGGAUUGAGACGGCACGAGAGUGUUUCAACAUAGGCAACUUUAACAGCUUGAUGGCCAUUAUAGCUGGCUUGAAUUUGGCGCCCAUUUCGAGGCUUAAGAAAACGUGGUCGAAAGUGCAAUCUGCAAAAUUCUCCGUGCUGGAACAUCAAAUGGAUCCUACAUCGAAUUUCAAUAGUUAUCGCUCAACACUUAAAGCCGCUAUGUGGCGUUCCGAGGGCGCUACCGAAGAACGUGAACGCAUAAUCAUUCCAUUUUUUAGUUUAUUCGUUAAGGAUCUAUAUUUUUUAAACGAGGGCUGUUCAAAUCGUUUGCCAAACAAUCAUAUCAAUUUUGAAAAAUGUUCACAACUCGCCAAACAGGUGAUGGAGUUCAACGAAUGGAAGAAGGUUACUUGCCCAUUUGAGCAGCUACCAAAUGUGAUUGCAUAUCUGCAGACUAGCAGUGUUCUAAAUGAGAACACACUAUCGAUGGCGUCUUUCGAAUGCGAACCGCCUGAAAAUACAGAGGAGAAGGGACGUUACAAAACGGUCAAAGCCGAAACGAAACAACAGUUAUUAAAUCAAUUGCAAGAGCAACAACAACACCAACCAUAGUUUAUUGCAACAGUGUCGUAGUGUCGUAGCAAAAGGAAAUAAGAUAUUUUUUCAGAGUAAAUCAGUGAACAUGAUAACAAUCUAUGUAAAACUCUUGAAACUGAACUCCAAUAUUGUGCAAAAAAAUCUUUCGAUGUGAAAGAAAACAAAAGUAUGACUGGUGGUAGCUAUAACGAUGCUUUCCUUUAUAAGAUUAUUAAUCUAAGCAAAACUUUUAAAACAACAAACCAACAACACAAGAGAAGAUAAAAAA